AUUGAACGCUGGCGGCAUGCUUUACACAUGCAAGUCGAACGGUAACAGGUUAAGCUGACGAGUGGCGAACGGGUGAGUAAUGCAUCGGAGCGUGCCCGAUCGUGGGGGAUAACGCAGCGAAAGCUGCGCUAAUACCGCAUACGAUCUGAGGAUGAAAGCGGGGGACCGUAAGGCCUCGCGCGAUCGGAGCGGCCGAUGUCAGAUUAGGUAGUUGGUGGGGUAAAGGCUCACCAAGCCAACGAUCUGUAGCUGGUCUGAGAGGACGACCAGCCACACUGGGACGGGGACACGGCCCAGACUCAUACGGGAGGCAGCAGUGGGGAAUUUGGGACAAUGGGCGAAAGCCUGAUCCAGCAAUGCCGCGUGCAGGAAGAAGGCCUUCGGGGUGUAAGCUGCUUUUGUACGGAGCGAAAAGGUCUCCUCUAAUACAGGGGGCUCAUGACGGUACCGUAAGAAUAAGCACCGGCUAACUACGUGCCAGCAGCCGCGGUAA
rnacentral:rRNA from 1 species